rnacentral:rRNA from 1 species
UACGAAGGGGGCGAGCGUUGUUCGGAUUUACUGGGCGUAAAGGGCGCGUAGGCGGCGGGCCAAGUCGAGUGUGAAAGCCCCGGGCUCAACCUGAGAGGUGCGCUCGAGACUGGUUUGCUGGAGUUCGGGAGAGGAGGCGUGGAAUUCCCAGUGUAGAGGUGAAAUUCGUAGAUAUUGGGAAGAACACCGGUGGCGAAGGCGGCGCUCUGGACCGAGACUGACGCUGAGGCGCGAAGGCGUGGGGAGCAAACAGGG